CGGCUGCGGCGGCGGCGCGGGAGGGGCCGGGGGCGGACAAAGCCGAGGCCGAUGAAUGGGGCGCGUCCGCCUGCGCGGCCGUGGGGUCCCCGCGGAUUUUAUUCUUAAAUAAAUGCUCAGCCUCAGGCCUGGUUAGGCAGACAGCAGAAGAAGGCAGACCGCAGGCCCCUUGUCCGUGGGAGCAGUGGGAUGGCCCAGGGAGGCAGAGACUCCGAGAAGGUGACGCAGAAGGAGCACCAUGCCAUCAAGCCACCAGCGUCCCUGUGCCCGAGACCAGCAGGUCCGCCCCGUGUGCGCGCACGUCUGCCCCGCGAUGCGUUUACCGGGAGAACUCCGGGAGCGGCGUGAGGUGACACGCUCACGAGUUCGCCCGUCCACUGCUCAGUGAGAUUCAUGCUUAGCGUAUUCAUAAACAUCCUGAGAGAGAGAGUUCUUCGGGCAGAA
rnacentral:lncRNA from 1 species